rnacentral:rRNA from 1 species
GAUGAACGCUAGCUACAGGCUUAACACAUGCAAGUCGAGGGACCGGCGCACGGGUGAGUAACACGUAUCCAACCUGCCCUUUACUCGGGGCUAGCCUUUCGACAGAAAGAUUAAUACCCGAUCUAAAGGAUGGGGAUGCGUUCCAUUAGGUUGUUGUGGAGGUAACGGCGCACCAAGCCUUCGAUGGAUCGGGGUUCUGAGAGGAAGGUCACCCACAUUGGAACUGGGACACGGGCCAAACUACUACGGGAGGAAGCAGUGAGGAAUAUUGGGGAAGAGGCGCUAGACUGAAACAGCCAAGUAGCGUGAAGGAUGAAGGAUUAUGGGUCGUAAACUUCUUUUAUAUAAGAAUAUGUAUUAUAGGAAUAAGGAUAGGCGAAAUCCGUUCCAGCAGCCGCGGUAAUU